rnacentral:rRNA from 1 species
AUACGGAGGGUCCGAGCGUUAUCCGGAAUCAUUGGGUUUAAAGGGUCCGUAGGCGGGAAUCUAAGUCAGUGGUGAAAUCUUGCAGCUCAACUGUAAAAUUGCCAUUGAUACUGGAUUUCUUGAAUUAGUGUGAAGUGAUUAGAGUGUGUAGUGUAGCGGUGAAAUGCAUAGAUAUUACACAGAAUACCAAUUGCGAAGGCAGAUCACUAACACUAUAUUGACGCUGAGGGACGAAAGCGUGGGGAGCGAACAGGAUUAGAAACCCUAGUAGUCC